rnacentral:rRNA from 1 species
GUCGAGAAUCUUCGGCAAUGGGCGCAAGCCUGACCGAGCGACGCCGCGUGGAGGACGAAGGCCUUCGGGUUGUAAACUCCUGUCGAGGGGGAGGAAGGCAUGGCAACAUGCUUGACCGAUCCCUGGAGGAAGCACGGGCUAAGUUCGUGCCAGCAGCCGCGGUAAGACGAACCGUGCGAACGUUAUUCGGAAUCACUGGGCUUAAAGCGCGUGUAGGCGGACCGGCACGUCCGAUCGUUGAAAGCCCCCGGCUCAACCGGGGAAGUGGCGGGGAUACGGCCGGUCUGGAGGGGGGUAGGGGGACCUGGAACUUCCGGUGGAGCGGUGAAAUGCGUUGAGAUCGGAAGGAACGCCCGUGGCGAAAGCGAGGUCCUGGACCCUUUCUGACGCUGAGACGCGAAAGCCAGGGGAGCGAACGGG